rnacentral:rRNA from 1 species
GACAGAGGUGCCGAACGUAUUCGGAAUCACUGGGCUUAAAGCGCGUGUAGGCGGAUGGGGACGUCGGUCGCUGAAAUCCCCCGGCUCAACCGGGGAACGGGCGCCGAAACGCCCCGUCUCGAGGGACGUAGGGGGACCUGGAACUUCCGGUGGAGCGGUGAAAUGCGUUGAGAUCGGAAGGAACGCCCGUGGCGAAAGCGAGGUCCUGGACGUCUACUGA